rnacentral:lncRNA from 1 species
UCUCUCUCUCUCUCUCCCUCACUCUCUCUCUCUCUAUCUCUCUCCCUCAUUAUACUUUAAGUUCUAGGCUACAAGUGCAAAUCAAACAACCCCAUCAAAAAAUGGGCAAAGGAUAUGAACAGACACUUUUCAAAAGAAGACAUUUAUGCAGCCAACAGACACGUGAAAAAAUGCUCAUUAUCACUGUCAUCAGAGAAAUGCAAAUCGGUAGAAUUUGGGUGUGUAUCCAUCUGGUCUUCGGCUUUUUUUUUGUUUUUUGUGUUUUUUCUGGUUGGUAGUCUAUUUAUUACUAAAUCCAUGUGCAGCUUCUCUCAAAGGACAUAAUCUCAUUUUUUUUAUAGCUUUGGUGUAUAUG